CAGCAGCCGCGGUAAUACGAAGGGGGCUAGCGUUGCUCGGAAUUACUGGGCGUAAAGGGAGCGUAGGCGGGUCGUUUAGUCAGAGGUGAAAUCCCGGGGCUCAACCUCGGAACUGCCUUUGAUACUGGCGACCUUGAGUAUGGGAGAGGUAAGUGGAACUCCGAGUGUAGAGGUGAAAUUCGUAGAUAUUCGGAAGAACACCAGUGGCGAAGGCGACUUACUGGCCCAUUACUGACGCUGAGACGCGAAAGCCAGGGGAGCGAACGGGAUUAGAUACCCCCGUAGUCCCUGUCUCUUAUAA
rnacentral:rRNA from 1 species